ACUCUUAGCAUUCCCUCAACCAGCUUCAUGAGGUAGUCACCUAGAAUGAGUUUCAAUUAACAGGUGUGCCUUGUUAAAAGUUAAUUUGUGGAAUUUCUUUCCUUAAUGCAUUUGAGCCAAUCAGUUGUGUUGUGACAAGGGAGGGUGAUAUACAGAAAAUAGCCCUAUUUGGUAAAAGACCCAGUCCAUAUUAUGGCAAGAACAGCUCAAAUAAGCGAUAAGCAUUUUGAUUUGUUUACUACAUGAUUCCAUGUAUUAUUUCAUAGUUUUGAUGUCUUCACUAUUAUUCUACAAUGUAGAAAAUAGUAAAAAUAAAGAAAAAUCCUUGAAAUGAGUAGUUGUGUCCAAGCUUUUAACUGGUACUGUAUCUAAACCCAGCAUGUUUCCUACUCACAAGUUCCUUUGUACUAUGUGACAUCUGCGUUUGGAAAUGGGGCCGCACAACAGAUGCAAAAUGUUGUUUUAAUGAUGAUUGAAAGCCAUGCUUUUCCAUUUCCCAUACAGGGAGCGCUACCAGCCUUCCCUCCUCUCUUUCCUUCCCUCCCUCCCUCGUUUCUUUUUCAAGGUGUCUUCAUUGUCAAUGUCAAGCACUAGAGAUGCAUUUGGGAUGACCAAAUAAAAAGUUGUAAUCAGAAAUAAAGCACUGUCGGCAGGGCUGUAAAGGUUCCAUUCCUCUGUAGGGCUUCAUUAGGCAGGGCUGUAAAGGUUCCAUUCCUCUGUAGGGCUUCAUUAGGCAGGGCUGUAAAGGUUCCAUUCCUCUGUAGGGCUUCAUUAGGCAGGGCUGUAAAGGUUCCAUUCCUCUGUAGGGCUUCAUUAGGCAGGGCUGUAAAGGUUCCAUUCCUCUGUAGGGCUUCAUUAGGCAGGGCUGUAAAGGUUCCAUUCCUCUGUAGGGCUUCAUUAGGCAGGGCUGUAAAGGUUCCAUUCCUCUGUAGGGCUUCAUUAGGCAGGGCUGUAAAGGUUCCAUUCCUCUGUAGGGCUUCAUUAGGCAGGGCUGUAAAGGUUCCAUUCCUCUGUAGGGCUUCAUUAGGCAGGGCUGUAAAGGUUCCAUUCCUCUGUAGGGCUUCAUUAGGCAGGGCUGUAAAGGUUCCAUUCCUCUGUAGGGCUUCAUUAGGCAGGGCUGUAAAGGUUCCAUUCCUCUGUAGGGCUUCAUUAGGCAGGGCUGUAAAGGUUCCAUUCCUCUGUAGGGCUUCAUUAGGCAGGGCUGUAAAGGUUCCAUUCCUCUGUAGGGCUUCAUUAGGCAGGGCUGUAAAGGUUCCAUUCCUCUGUAGGGCUUCAUUAGGCAGGGCUGUAAAGGUUCCAUUCCUCUGUAGGGCUUCAUUAGGCAGGGCUGACAUCCCCACGGCCUCCGCCACUGCAGCCUUUUAUUGUUGUCCCCAUUCACAUUGUAAAAAAAGGCACUCCUUCCUGGCAACUUCUCCUCUGCUCCGCCACUCAAGACAGCUAGGCCCUUUCAUAAUGCUGAAAGAGAGAGGGUCCUGAAUCCUCCCCCCAGCCCACCUCAAACUCUUACUACUCCGCCUGUAGCCGCUCUGUUUC